AGAGUUUGAUCCUGGCUCAGGAUGAACGCUGGCGGCGUGCCUAACACAUGCAAGUCGAACGGACUUACAUUGAAGCCUAGCGAUAUGUAAGUUAGUGGCGGACGGGUGAGUAACGCGUGGGUAACCUGCCUUGUACUGGGGGACAACAGUUGGAAACGACUGCUAAUACCGCAUAAGCGCACAGCUUCGCAUGAAGCAGUGUGAAAAACUCCGGUGGUACAAGAUGGACCCGCGUCUGAUUAGCUGGUUGGUGAGGUAACGGCCCACCAAGGCGACGAUCAGUAGCCGGCCUGAGAGGGUGAACGGCCACAUUGGGACUGAGACACGGCCCAAACUCCUACGGGAGGCAGCAGUGGGGAAUAUUGCACAAUGGGGGAAACCCUGAUGCAGCAACGCCGCGUGAGUGAAGAAGUAUUUCGGUAUGUAAAGCUCUAUCAGCAGGAAAGAAAAUGACGGUACCUGACUAAGAAGCCCCGGCUAACUACGUGCCAGCAGCCGCGGUAAUACGUAGGGGGCAAGCGUUAUCCGGAUUUACUGGGUGUAAAGGGAGCGUAGACGGUUUUGCAAGUCUGAAGUGAAAGCCCGGGGCUUAACCCCGGGACUGCUUUGGAAACUGUAGGACUAGAGUGCAGGAGAGGUAAGUGGAAUUCCUAGUGUAGCGGUGAAAUGCGUAGAUAUUAGGAGGAACACCAGUGGCGAAGGCGGCUUACUGGACUGUAACUGACGUUGAGGCUCGAAAGCGUGGGGAGCAAACAGGAUUAGAUACCCUGGUAGUCCACGCCGUAAACG
rnacentral:rRNA from 1 species